GCAGCAGAUUCAGGUGUUGCUUUUGGCUCCCUCAGGAGAUUUUCCUCCCCCAAUCCAGGUACAGAAUCACCCUCAGUUUCAAUUUUAGACACAUUGCAUCUUUCUAUUUUACCCUCUUCAUGAGCAUCAGCAUUGACAUCUCCAAGUAUGCUGUUCCUUCGAUCAACUUGUUCGGCGGGAAUACUAGCAUGUCCAGAAGUUGGUAUUCUGUUUUCUGCACAAUUCUCCACUGCAUUUCUUUUGUUUAUGUCAUUUACAGCUAUUUCGGAACUUUCAAUUUUAUCUUUAUCAUGAUUACCAGUAUCAUCUAAGUUUGUCUGCCUGACUUCAGCAUCUAUUGGCACUACCAGGGUGUUAGUAACAGAUAUGGCGUUUGUAGUGUGCUCUAGAUAACUCGUCAGAGAUGAAGUUUCACAAUGAUCACGAGGUACUUCUUCGGGAGAUUGAACAGAAAUGCUCUUCUCCAGGUCACCUACCACAACAUCUGUUACACCAACUUCUGAUUUAAGGGGC
rnacentral:lncRNA from 1 species